CCUCGGAACUCAAGCUUGGAGCUGACGGCAGUGGCUUAGAAGGAAAACUUCAGGUGUGAGCCCAGGGUGUGUGCUGGGGGUGGGCGUGGAGGUCCUGUGGUGUCACGGCCCUCCUUGUUUGCCCAGGGCCCAGUCACACAGAGCAGGAGCUUCUCCGCCUGACCGACGACUCCCCCGUCGACCUCCUGUGUGCGCCUGUCCCCUCGUGCCUGCCGUCCCCUCAGCUGAGACCAGACCCCGUUAUCCUCCAAUCUGCUGAUCUCAUUCAGUUUGAGGAGCGCCCUCAAGAGCCUUCUGAAAUUAUGAUUUUAAACCAAGAAGAAAAAAUGGAGAUUCCAAUACCAGGAAAGAGCAAAACUCUGACCUCUGACUCCAGCUCGUCCUGCAUCUCAGCAGCUGUCCCCGUGCCUCCCUGCCCCUCCUCGGAAACCUCCGAGUCACUGCUCAGCAAGGACCCCGUGGAAAGCCCGGCCAAAAAGCAACCCAAAAAUAGAGUCAAAUUGGCAGCCAACUUUUCCUUAGCACCUAUAACCAAGCUUUAACUCCCAUUUGGAAUAUAGAAUUAGGAUGGGAAAACACUGUCUGAUUCUGCACACAAAA
rnacentral:lncRNA from 1 species